AAGUCGUAACAAGGUUUCCGUAGGUGAACCUGCGGAAGGAUCAUUACAGAGUUCCUGCCCUCACGGGUAGAAACCCCACCCUUGUGUAUACUAUAUUGUUGCUUUGGCAGGCCGCCUCCCGGCGUCGGCUCACGCUGACCGCGCCUGCCAGAGAACCCUAAACUCUGCAAUACAGUGUCGUCUGAGUACUAUUUAAUAGUUAAAACUUUCAACAACGGAUCUCUUGGUUCUGGCAUCGAUGAAGAACGCAGCGAAAUGCGAUAAGUAAUGUGAAUUGCAGAAUUCAGUGAAUCAUCGAAUCUUUGAACGCACAUUGCGCCCCUUGGUAUUCCGAGGGGCAUGCCUGUUCGAGCGUCAUGUAUACCAACUCCUAUUCUAUAGGGUCUUGGGCUUCGCCUCUAGGCGGGUCUUAAAAUUAGUGGCGGUGCCUUGAGGCUCUACGCGUAGUAAUACUCCUCGCGAUAGACGUCUUAGGGUGUCUAGCCAGCAACCCCCAACUUCUUCGGAUUGACCUCGGAUCAGGUAGGGAUACCCGCUGAACUUAAGCAUAUCAAUAAGCGGAGGAAAAGAAACCAACAGGGAUUACCUCAGUAACGGCGAGUGAAGCGGUAACAGCUCAAAUUUGAAAUCUGGCGCUCUCAGCGUCCGAGUUGUAAUUUGUAGAAGAUGCUUUGGGUGUGGCUCCGGUCUAAGUUCCUUGGAACAGGACGUCAUAGAGGGUGAGAAUCCCGUAUGUGACUGGCGGCCUUCGCCUGUGUAAAGCUCUUUCGACGAGUCGAGUUGUUUGGGAAUGCAGCUCUAAAUGGGAGGUAUAUUUCUUCUAAAGCUAAAUAUUGGCCAGAGACCGAUAGCGCACAAGUAGAGUGAUCGAAAGAUGAAAAGCACUUUGGAAAGAGAGUUAAACAGUACGUGAAAUUGUUGAAAGGGAAGCGCUUGCAACCAGACUUGCCUGCCGUCGAUCAUCCUGGGUUCUCCCUGGUGCACUCGGCGGCGGUCAGGCCAGCAUCGGUUUCGGUGGUGGGAUAAAGGCCGUGGGAACGUAGCUCCUCUCGGGGAGUGUUAUAGCCCUCGGUGCAAUGCCGCCUACCGGGACCAAGGACCGCGCUUCGGCUAGGAUGCUGGCGUAAUGGUUGUAAGCGACC
rnacentral:rRNA from 1 species